rnacentral:tRNA from 5 species
GCGAGAGUGGCGGAAUUGGUAGACGCGCUGGUUUUAGGUACCAGUAUCGUAAGAUGUGAGAGUUCGAGUCUCUCCUUUCGCACCA